CAGCCCAUGCCCAUUCAUUCCCAAGAUGAAUCAUUCAUUUGUUCAUUCCUAUCGUGUUUACAUGUUUUUGUGUAAUAUGUCGGCCAUAUGAGCCUUUCAUAAAGGUGGUCAUCCGGAGAAAACUCUCCCUGAAAACUCUCGCGAGCCGGAGUGCUCCGCCUCGGACAAUGCGAGCACCGAGGUCUACAGGAUCCUCCAAGAACGGACACGCCGUUUUUCGAGAGAGCUCAUUGGUCAGUGGGCGGGGUUUUUAUACUCGGUGAGUUCAAUCUGGAACUUAACCUGCCCCGGAGCAGUUUAGCCGUUCAGCGUAUGUUGCUAUGGAGACUCGCCUCGCUAAGAGGUGAGCCCGCGUCGUAGAACAGGAAACCCCGAACUUAUCCUCAAAGUUACCUCGCUAAGCAGUAAUCCUGCUUCGUAGAACAGGCCCCUGGUCUCCCCUGUGAUGGCCUCUAGAGGUCAUCCUGCUGCCUAGUCUUUCCUGGCCCUGUCUGCAAGAGUUGGAGGAGCUCAUUAGGGAGAUGACUGACACCUGGCUGGGUGUGGCAGUAGGCUUAAUUGCUUAGCCAGGUCAGUCAGUCUCUCUCUGAUCUCCAUGCUGGGGCCUGUUCUACGAAGCAGGUUCAACUUAGCGAGGUAGGCUUGGCGCUACCUCGCUCAACUUAGCGCGGUAGCCAGCGGUCUCGCUACACGGUUUUACGACGCUGGUUAUCAACCUCAUAAGUGGAUCCAGCUCUGCUAUGAGCGCGUGCACACAUAUAAGGCGGAGCCUGCCGCAUCUGACCAAUCACGAACAUCGAUCAGUCUGGAGCGUCAGAGCAGGCUGGAGAGUGAAGGACUGCGGACUUUACAAACGAGGAACAGGACACGAUCAUGAGAAAGUACGACGAAUUGAAAGCUAUCAUAAACCUCAAAAGCAAAACCGUCGCCGCUGCAAAAGCACAGAGGGAAUGCUGGCAGAAAAGUAAUCUUUGAUGCCAUUAUCACCCUGAAAUAGCACUGUUCAACAUGCGCUUUUAACUAAGGUGACAGUCCCCGAAUUGGAUGAUCUGUCCCCGGCUAAAGCUGUCCGCGAAAACGUUCCUGAUUUAAGCGUUUCAUGAAUGAGAACAAAAAUGUUGCAUGUGGGCAAGAACAACGGUUAUUACAGUGGGUAGGAAGCACAAGUAAGCAGUCCUGAACAACAGUAUUUACCGGGUUAUUAUAAGGGGCGUGCGCUGCUACUAAAUAGUACCGAGAUGUUGUCUGUGAUCGCGCAGCCCAUGUCCAUUAAUUCCCAAGAUGAAUCAUUCAUUUGUUCAUUCCUAUCGUGUUUACAUGUUUUUGUGUAAUAUGUCGGCCAUAUAAGCCUUUCAUAAAGGUGGUCAUCCGGAGAAAACUCUCCCUGAAAACUCUCGCGAGCCGGAGUGCUCCUCGGACAAUGCGAGCACCAAGGUCUACAGGAUCCUCCAAGAACGGACAAGCCGUUUUUCGAGAGA